UUGCCAUUCUAGCUAGCAUUUUGCCUAGCAUAAGGAGGAGUAGGCUGACUAGCUGACUUGUUUCCGCGAGAAAGUAGCUAGUGCCGCACGGUUCGUUGGUAGAAAACACCAAGCCCGUGACAUCUUGCAUGGGGUUGGGCCCCAACAGCUUUGGUUGGAUCUUCCAUCCAUGUCUCGGCCUCGCCCUCUACGGCCAUCACAGCCGCAUAAAAUUCCGUCAAUUCAUAUUCGGGCCCGCGUCAGUUCCGACUGGGGCUAUUAUAGGCUACACAACACCUCGAUGCCUCACCUACAAUAAGAAAAUAAAGCCCCAUGUAUGCCUAAAGCAAGGGCGAUGCCCAUGCUCCAUUUUUGAAUUUUUCCGAAAAUGGGCCCCGGUGGGCCCACCGUGUCCCGGGAAAUUUUCCGACAUCCGGGACGGGGCGGAGGGGGCUGGGGUGUUUGCGGGCCAAUUCCGUGGAUACCGAUGCCUAUCUUGCAGCCCAG
rnacentral:lncRNA from 1 species